UGAAACCUCUUUCUUUUGUAAAUUGCCCAGUCUUGGGUAUGUCUUUAUCAGCAGCAUGAAAAUGGACUAAUCCAGAAGGCAUGGAUAUGCAAACUUUCACUUUUGUUCUUUACUUGAGUGUCAGGAAAAUAUGAUGUUGUGGAUGGAUAGAAGACAAGAGAGAUGAAGAUUUGUGUCACCAUAGUAAAAAUUCUAGAAGGCUAUGGUGUCUCAUAUUGGUCUCAGAAUUCUAAAUCAAAUAAAGCACUAAAACAAAUGUAUUAAACACUCAGAAACCUAAAUUUUAGCUGCUUCCUAAGAUUGUGAACAGUGUUUUCUCAUGAUCUUCCUGAAAGCAAUUGACAAUGCGUUACAUUCAACUUGAAGAAAUAAGUAUUUUCUUCCCUUAAAAAAUUUACCAAUUUAAUUAUCAUCCAAGGUCUCGAACUCAUGAACUCAAGCCAUCUGCUCGCCUCAGCCUCCCAAAGUGCUGGGAUUACAGGUGUGAGCCACUGUGCCUGGCCUAUAGCAUGACUUUUAUACCUCUCAGAGUCCUCUCAUAGAGUUUAUCAAGCAUAGUAGGACUACAGCAGCUACCUAAUGGGUGGAAUACAACCCUGACUUACUGAAAUGGAACUGAAGUCAUUGGCGGAAAGGAGGACACAGGAGUCAAAGCAAGAGCAUGACUAGUGCAAACCUCAUCUUACACUGGUUUUGAAAAUGGGAACAAAUGAAACAAACCCAGUUGAAGAGUAUAAAAGGAUAAGUUAUUUUUAAUUCUCUAAAUAAUCAUUUUAUCUGGAUAUCCAAUAGACACAGGCUAGGAAAAUUUGAUAGAGUGCACAUAUAUUUCUAUACACACAGUCUAUAUACACACAUAUAUUUCUGUAUACAUUUAUAUAAAACAAAUUGUAUAUUUAAUUCUACAUAUAAUAAAUAUUUGGGGAUCAUUUUACAUAUACCAUUUAGAAUAAAGAGAAUUUAUACCUAUUAAUAUUUCUCUCCAAACUUCUUUGAGACCACUAAAGUAAUAUUUAAUUAACCUAACUAAAAAUCAGACAAUUCAAGUUCUUAGAGCUACUGCUCUGAGAAUAUUGGAGAAUUCUCAGAGUCAUUUAUUGAACUGUAUAGAUUUUUUCUUGGCACUUUCUGGUUUUGUACCUGUACUGUACUCUAAAUAAGAACACACCACACAUUUCAGCUAAUGGGAGUAAAAAUUGCUCUUUAGGGCUUGUCCUUCCCAUUCUCCUUGUAUCCGACACUCAAGCCUUGGCUCGCAAGCACAAUGACCUAAUCCAGAAGAAGCUCGUUAAGCAGAGCAGAUUGAUCUCUCUUUGGUCUGCCGCUUCAUGGUUUUUUACAACCACAGUGGGUUGUUGGACCGGUUCUACAAUCCCUUGUGGCAUAAAGAGAUCAAUCAUUUGGUUUCAAGAUUUUUCUUAAUCGCAAGCCUAAUGGAAAGCUAGAACACAAAUUCUCAGCUAAUGCAAAUAAAUCUGGGUGAUUUACUUUCACUAAAAUAUUAGUCACUAAUGAAGAAUUUCUUGCAUCUAAAUUCAAAUAUGCAAAUGUAUGCCAAAAGUUUGGAAAUGUAUAAUAUACGUGCAUAUGUCUCUGUAUCUCCACAAGAGUGAAAAAGAAAUAAUUGUUUGAUCUGAUUCUGAAAAGACUGACUACGGUGAGCUCAGAAGUAACCAGUCUCAUAGCUGUUUCAUUUUUCAGAAUAUUACUUAAUGUAUUGCAAUAUUCUGUUAUUUUAGUUCAUUUGUGCUGUUAUAACAAAAUACCAGAGGCUUGGUAGCUUAAACAAAGGCAGCUUAUUUCUUAGUUCUAGAGGCUAGAAAGUCCAAGAUCAAGGUACCAGCAGAUUCCAUUUUCCAUGAGGGCCCAUUUUAUUAUGGCUCAUGGAAUAAGGUCUUCCAGCUGUGUCUGGAUUCCUUCCAUGCGAUUCCAUGGAAUAGGGU
rnacentral:lncRNA from 1 species